rnacentral:tRNA from 1 species
GUGGGGGUGCUGGAGUGGUCAAACAGGCAGCCCUUAAGCGGCUGUAGCUUUAUGCUUACGCAGGUUCGAAUCCUGUCCCUCACA